CGUGAUAGACAGCGACAUCCUUCAUUACCAUGACAACAGCUUUGCCUCCAGAGAUUUCAAGUCAAGCCGUGUGUUUUCAUCAGAAAUGAAUAACGGAGCCAGUCACUGCACAAUAACGUAGACGCAAGCUUCAUUGGUCAAAGGUCACUUGAUAUGGCAGGAAUUUCAGCUUGGCUGUCUGUCGUCUUCAGUGUCUCCUCAUUACGAGAUUGAGUUCAAGAUGUCUUCAGGAACAUCCUACAU